GACGAACGCUGGCGGCGUGCUUAACACAUGCAAGUCGAACGGUAAGGCCCUUCGGGGUACACGAGUGGCGAACGGGUGAGUAACACGUGGGUGAUCUGCCCUGCACUUCGGGAUAAGCCUGGGAAACUGGGUCUAAUACCGGAUAGGACCACUGCCUGCAUGGGUGGUGGUGGAAAGCUUUUGCGGUGUGGGAUGGGCCCGCGGCCUAUCAGCUUGUUGGUGGGGUGAUGGCCUACCAAGGCGACGACGGGUAGCCGGCCUGAGAGGGUGACCGGCCACACUGGGACUGAGGUACGGCCCAGACUCCUACGGGAGGCAGCAGUGGGGAAUAUUGCACAAUGAGCGCAAGCCUGAUGCAGCGACGCCGCGUGAGGGAUGACGGCCUUCGGGUUGUAAACCUCUUUCAGCACCGACGAAGCGCAAGUGACGGUAGGUGCAGAAGAAGGACCGGCCAACUACGUGCCAGCCGCCGCGGUAA
rnacentral:rRNA from 1 species